CCUACGGGGGGCAGCAGUGGGGAAUCUUGCGCAAUGGGCGAAAGCCUGACGCAGCGACGCCGCGUGAGCGAUGAAGGCCUUCGGGUUGUAAAGCUCUGUGGGGAGAGAAGAAUAAGUGCUGGCUAAUAUCCAGCAUGAUGACGGUAUCUCCUUAGCAAGCACCGGCUAACUCUGUGCCAGCAGCCGCGGUAAGACAGAGGGUGCAAACGUUGUUCGGAAUUACUGGGCGUAAAGCGCGUGUAGGCGGCAGGGCAAGUCGGAUGUGAAAGCCCACGGCUCAACCGUGGAAGUGCACCCGAAACUGCCCAGCUAGAGUCUCGGAGAGGAAGGUGGAAUGCUUGGUGUAGAGGUGAAAUUCGUAGAUAUCAAGCGGAACACCGGUGGCGAAGGCGGCCUUCUGGACGAUGACUGACGCUGAGACGCGAAAGCGUGGGGAGCAA
rnacentral:rRNA from 1 species